CAGAGUUCAUGCCCUAACGGGUAGAUCUCCCACCCUUGAGUAUUAUACUUUUGUUGCUUUGGCGGGCCGCCUAGGCUACCGGCUUCGGCUGGUGAGUGCCCGCCAGAGGACCCAAAACUCUGAAUUAUAGUGUUGUCUGAGUACUAUAUAAUAGUUA
rnacentral:misc_RNA from 1 species